UUCUUAGAAUCAUUAUAAUAAUGGUAACAUUCUACGAUAUUGAAAAGAUUCUUUAUUGAAUAAAAUACAGUGUAGUUAUCGUGAUAGCUAGGAAAAUAGUGUCAAGUCGCACAAAAACCAAAGAUGAUCAUUUUUCUUAUACAACCAAGUAGUAACAUCAACGUAAGGAGGUAAGGACAAAUACGCCAACCAACGAGACAA